UACGUAGGGAGCAAGCGUUGUCCGGAAUCAUUGGGCGUAAAGCGCGCGUAGGCGGCCCUGUAAGUCCGUUGUGAAAGUCAAAGGCUCAACCUUUGAAAGCCGAUGGAUACUGCAGGGCUAGAGUCCGGAAGAGGCGAGUGGAAUUCCUGGUGUAGCGGUGGAAUGCGCAGAUAUCCGGAGGAACACCGGUGGCGAAGGCGGCUUCCUGGACCGACACUGACGCUGAGGCGCGAAAGCUAGGGGAGCAAACGGG
rnacentral:rRNA from 1 species